GUGUCAGCCGCCGCGGUAAGACAGAGGUGCCAAGCGUUAGGCGGAAUCACUGGGCUUAAAGCGUGUGUAGGCGGACUUCUAAGUGCCUUGUGAAAUCCCACGGCUCAACCGUGGAAUGGCUGGGCAGACUGGGAGUCUUGAGCUGCCUAGGGGCGACUGGAACAAGCGGUGGAGCGGUGAAAUGCGUAGAUAUCGCUUGGAACGCCUGCGGUGAAAACGGGUCGCUGGGGGCAAGCUGACGCUGAGACACGAAAGCCAGGGGAGCAAACGGGAUUAGAUACCCCAGUAGUCC
rnacentral:rRNA from 1 species